UACGAAGGGGGCUAGCGUUGCUCGGAAUCACUGGGCGUAAAGGGUGCGUAGGCGGGUUUUUAAGUCAGAGGUGAAAUCCUGGAGCUCAACUCCAGAACUGCCUUCGAUACUGGGAAUCUUGAGUAUGGAAGAGGUGAGUGGAACUGCGAGUGUAGAGGUGAAAUUCGUAGAUAUUCGCAAGAACACCAGUGGCGAAGGCGGCUCACUGGUCCAUAACUGACGCUGAGGCACGAAAGCGUGGGGAGCAAACAGG
rnacentral:rRNA from 1 species